GACGAACGCUGGCGGCGUGCCUAAUACAUGCAAGUAGAACGCUGAAGAGAGGAGCUUGCUCUUCUUGGAUGAGUUGCGAGCGGGUGAGUAACGCGUAGGUAACCUGCCUUGUAGCGGGGGAUAACUAUUGGAAACGAUAGCUAAUACCGCAUAACAAUGGAUGACACAUGUCAUUUAUUUGAAAGGGGCAAUUGCUCCACUACAAGAUGGACCUGCGUUGUAUUAGCUAGUAGGUGAGGUAACGGCUCACCUAGGCGACGAUACAUAGCCGACCUGAGAGGGUGAUCGGCCACACUGGGACUGAGACACGGCCCAGACUCCUACGGGAGGCAGCAGUAGGGAAUCUUCGGCAAUGGGGGCAACCCUGACCGAGCAACGCCGCGUGAGUGAAGAAGGUUUUCGGAUCGUAAAGCUCUGUUGUAAGUCAAGAACGAGUGUGAGAGUGGAAAGUUCACACUGUGACGGUAGCUUACCAGAAAGGGACGGCUAACUACGUGCCAGCAGCCGCGGUAAUACGUAGGUCCCGAGCGUUGUCCGGAUUUAUUGGGCGUAAAGCGAGCGCAGGCGGUUUGAUAAGUCUGAAGUUAAAGGCUGUGGCUCAACCAUAGUUCGCUUUGGAAACUGUCAAACUUGAGUGCAGAAGGGGAGAGUGGAAUUCCAUGUGUAGCGGUGAAAUGCGUAGAUAUAUGGAGGAACACCGGUGGCGAAAGCGGCUCUCUGGUCUGUAACUGACGCUGAGGCUCGAAAGCGUGGGGAGCGAACAGGAUUAGAUACCCUGGUAGUCCACGCCGUAAACGAUGAGUGCUAGGUGUUGGAUCCUUUCCGGGAUUCAGUGCCGCAGCUAACGCAUUAAGCACUCCGCCUGGGGAGUACGACCGCAAGGUUGAAACUCAAAGGAAUUGACGGGGGCCCGCACAAGCGGUGGAGCAUGUGGUUUAAUUCGAAGCAACGCGAAGAACCUUACCAGGUCUUGACAUCCCGAUGCUAUUUCUAGAGAUAGAAAGUUACUUCGGUACAUCGGUGACAGGUGGUGCAUGGUUGUCGUCAGCUCGUGUCGUGAGAUGUUGGGUUAAGUCCCGCAACGAACGCAACCCCUAUUGUUAGUUGCCAUCAUUCAGUUGGGCACUCUAGCGAGACUGCCGGUAAUAAACCGGAGGAAGGUGGGGAUGACGUCAAAUCAUCAUGCCCCUUAUGACCUGGGCUACACACGUGCUACAAUGGUUGGUACAACGAGUUGCGAGUCGGUGACGGCAAGCUAAUCUCUUAAAGCCAAUCUCAGUUCGGAUUGUAGGCUGCAACUCGCCUACAUGAAGUCGGAAUCGCUAGUAAUCGCGGAUCAGCACGCCGCGGUGAAUACGUUCCCGGGCCUUGUACACACCGCCCGUCACACCACGAGAGUUUGUAACACCCGAAGUCGGUGAGGUAACCUUUUGGAGCCAGCCGCCUAAGGUGGGAUAGAUGAUUGGGGUGAAGUCGUAACAAGGUAGCCGUAUCGGAAGG
rnacentral:rRNA from 1 species